UGGCCAGCCUCUACUUUUCUACUCUCUCCAUCUCUCUGCCUUUGUCUGCCUCUACUACCCUCUUAGCUCCUCUUCCCAGACACUUCUCCCUGCAAAGGUAUUUAACCUCAGGCCCUCCCUGAGAAAGUCGGAAUUGAAAAUAUCAGGAGAACCACCCACUGGAGAUGAACGGAGAAGCAACUAAAACCUGCACCUCCCUUGCAAGACUCCCCUCUCCUCUGGUUUCCAUGACACCACCCUCUCCUGCUGCCUCCUGCUUCCUUGUUUCUCCUUCUUGUUCAAGACAAAGUCAUCGUUGUCUAUGGGAGUCAGUUCCAACAAUAGAGAGACUGAAAUGAGAGAGGUAACCUGCCACUCAAGAGGCGGAGCCAGUCCUUGGAAAGAGAUUUGUUUUCCUGGGAAUCAGAUGGACAGUGACAUCACACUUCAUGGUUUAGAAAGCAUGUUCACAUAUCAACCACAUUUAGUUUUGAAUUUAGAAAUGAUUAACAACCACAUUUACUUUUGACAUUUAAUCUUAUGAGAUCAUAUUAUUAUCAUAUUAUCGUAUCUACAUAUAAGGAAAGUGAAGCUUUUAAGAUUAAUUGACAUCAUUAAAUCUUU